rnacentral:rRNA from 1 species
GACGAACGCUGGCGGCGUGCCUAAUACAUGCAAGUAGAACGCUGAAGGAGGAGCUUGCUUCUCUGGAUGAGUUGCGAACGGGUGAGUAACGCGUAGGUAACCUGCCUGGUAGCGGGGGAUAACUAUUGGAAACGAUAGCUAAUACCGCAUAAGAGUAGAUGUUGCAUGACAUUUGCUUAAAAGGUGCAAUUGCAUCACUACCAGAUGGACCUGCGUUGUAUUAGCUAGUUGGUGGGGUAACGGCUCACCAAGGCGACGAUACAUAGCCGACCUGGGAGGGGGUCCGCCACAAUUGGACCUGAGCACCGGCCCAGCUUCCUCCGGGAGGAACAGUUGGGGAUUCUUCGGCAAUGGCCGAAGGCCUGACGGAGAACCGCCGGGUGGGGGAGGAGGGUUUCCGGACGUUAAACCUUGUUGUAAGAGAAGAACGAGUGUGAGAGUGGAAAGUUCACACUGUGACGGUAUCUUACCAGAAAGGGACGGCUAACUACGUG